AAAGUAUGAUGAGGGCAUUUUUAAGCAUCUCCUUAAAUCUCUCCAAACUAUCAUAAAUAUAUUCUCCUUUAAAUUGGACAAAAUGUGAUAUCAGUUCUAAAUUU